rnacentral:rRNA from 1 species
UUUUAUUGGAGAGUUUGAUCCUGGCUCAGGACGAACGCUGGCGGCGUGCCUAACACAUGCAAGUCGAACGGACUGAUGUUCAACACCGAGCAUUUUAGGGUGUUAAAGACGACGGCAGCGCAUAAGCUGCGAAGCAGCUUUACGCGUUAAAAAAGUGCCAACACAACACCUUAGAGUCAUCGGUGUUGAACAUCAGUCAGUGGCGAACGGGUGAGUAACGCGUAGACAACCUGCCUUCUAGAUGGGGAUAACACCGCGAAAGUGGUGCUAAUACCGAAUGUGUCAACCUGGGCGCAUGCCCGGGUUGAGAAAGGUGGCCUCUUGG